AUUGAACGCUGGCGGCAGGCCUAACACAUGCAAGUCGAACGAGUGGCGGACGGGUGAGUAAUGUCUGGGAAACUGCCUGAUGGAGGGGGAUAACUACUGGAAACGGUAGCUAAUACCGCAUACCAUCAGAUGUUCCCAGAUGGGAUUAGCUAGGGGGGGGGGUAACGGCUCACCAAGGCGACGAUCCCUAGCUGGUCUGCGAGGAUGACCAGAAAAACUGGAACGAAGACACGGUCCAGACUCCUACGGGAGGCAGCAGUGGGGAAGAUUGGACAAUGGGCGCAAGCCUGAUGCAGCCAUGCAGCGUGUAUGAAGAAGGCCGUCGGGUUGUAAAGUACUUUCAGCGGGGAGGCGUUACCCGCAGAAGAAGCACCGGCUAACUCCGUGCCAGCAGCCGCGGUAAUUC
rnacentral:rRNA from 1 species